rnacentral:rRNA from 1 species
CCCUAGAGAUAGGGCCCUCCCCUUCGGGGGCAGAGUGACAGGUGUCGCAUGGUUGUCGUCAGCUCGUGUCGUGAGAUGUUGGGUUAAGUCCCGCAACGAGCGCNACCCUUGAUCUUAGUUGCCAGCAUUCAGUUGGGCACUCUAAGGUGACUGCCGGUGACAAACCGGAGGAAGGUGGGGAUGACGUCAAAUCAUCAUGCCCCUUAUGACCUGGGCUACACACGUGCUACAAUGGGCAGAACAAAGGGCAGCGAAGCCGCGAGGCUAAGCCAAUCCCACAAAUCUGUUCUCAGUUCGGAUCGCAGUCUGCAACUCGACUGCGUGAAGCUGGAAUCGCUAGUAAUCGCGGAUCAGCAUGCCGCGGUGAAUACGUUCCCGGGCCUUGUACACACCGCCCGUCACACCACGAGAGUUUGUAACACCCGAAGUCGGUGAGGUAACCUUUUGGAGCCAGCCGCC